rnacentral:rRNA from 1 species
UGGGGAAUCUUGCGCAAUGGGCGAAAGCCUGACGCAGCCAUGCCGAGAGAAUGAUGAAGGUCUUAGGAUUGUAAAAUUCUUUCACCGGGGACGAUAAUACGGUACCCGGAGAAGAAGCCCCGGCCAAAUUCGUGCCAGCAGCCGCGGUAAUACGAAGGGGGCUAGCGUUGCUCGGAAUUACUGGGCGUAAAGGGCGCGUAGGCGGACAUUUAAGUCAGGGGUAAAUCCCAGAGCUCAACUAUGGAACUGCCUUUGAUACUGGGUGUCAUGAGUGUGAGACAGGUAAGAGGACCUCAGAGUGUAGAGGAAAAAUUCGUAGAUAUUCGGAAGAACACCAGAUGCGAAGGAGACACACUGGCUCAUUACGCACUCUGAGGCGACAAAGCGUGGGGAGCAAACA